rnacentral:rRNA from 1 species
GGACUACUCGGGUUUCUAAUCCCGUUCGCUCCCCACGCUUUCGCGCUACAGCGUCAGUUACGAGCCAGAAGGCCGCCUUCGCCACUGGUGUUCCUCCCGAUAUCUACGCAUUUCACUACUACACCGGGAAUUCCACCUUCCUCUCUCGCACUCUAGUCGACCAGUAUUGGAGGCAGUUUCAGGGUUAAGCCCUGAGAUUUCACCACCAACUUUGCCAACCGCCUUAACGCGCUUUACGCCCAGUAAAUCCGGAUAACGCUCGCCCCCUACGUAUUACCGCGGCUGCUGGCAC